rnacentral:lncRNA from 1 species
AACUUUGCAUCAGGACACUCCAGCUCAACAUCAGGCAUCUUAAGCUUGGGGCCCUUCAGCUUCCCUUCUGGACCUUCAAGGCUCACAUCUGGGACUUCAACAUCCACCUUGGGUCCUGAGACAACAACAUCAGCCUUGGGCAAGUUCACAUCCACUUCUGGGCCCUCUGCUUUGAAGCCAGGCAUGCUGAACUUGGGCAUUUUCAUCUUGGGCAUCUUCAGGUGCCAGUCUGGGCCUUGAACCUCCACAUCUGGGGCAUCAAUGUCCAUUUUGGGUCCUUUGAUUUCAACAUCUGGCACUUUCAUUUCACCUUCUACCUU